rnacentral:rRNA from 1 species
GAUGUACGCUGGCGGCGUGCCUAAUACAUGCAAGUCGAGCGAAUGGAUUAAGAGCUUGCUCUUAUGAAGUUAGCGGCGGACGGGUGAGUAACACGUGGGUAACCUGCCCAUAAGACUGGGAUAACUCCGGGAAACCGGGGCUAAUACCGGAUAACAUUUUGAACCGCAUGGUUCGAAAUUGAAAGGCGGCUUCGGCUGUCACUUAUGGAUGGACCCGCGUCGCAUUAGCUAGUUGGUGAGGUAACGGCUCACCAAGGCAACGAUGCGUAGCCGAGCUGAGAGGGUGAUCGGCCACACUGGGACUGAGACACGGCCCAGACUCCUACGGGAGGCAGCAGUAGGGAAUCUUCCGCAAUGGACGAAAGUCUGACGGAGCAACGCCGCGUGAGUGAUGAAGGCUUUCGGGUCGUAAAACUCUGUUGUUAGGGAAGAACAAGUGCUAGUUGAAUAAGCUGGCACCUUGACGGUACCUAACCAGAAAGCCACGGCUAACUACGUGCCAGCCGCCGCGGUAA